GGAGAGGUGGCUGAGUUGGCUGAAGGCGCUCGACUCGAAAUCGAGUAGGCGAGUGCAUCGCCUCGUGGGUUCAAAUCCCACCCUCUCCGCCA
rnacentral:tRNA from 1 species